AGGAAUAUUUGCUGCAACCUAUUUUAGAUUUCAGCCCAUCUGCCUCCAGCCCUAUCUCCUGUUUCUUAAAGAGGAAGAUAGGGGGUCUUGGGGUGGUGGUUAGACUAUAUAGAGGACAAAUAGUCUUCCUCCUAAAGUUGCCUCCAAAGUUAUUUUCCAGUUUCUGGAAUUGAACAACUAAGGGCAGUAGGUAAUUUUGGCAAGUCCCCCAGCAAUCAGUCAAAUUGACCUGAUGCUGAAGUCAGGGCUGGAGCUUCAUUAAAGCAGAGAAAGAUUAAGUGACUGUGGGUAAGCUCCUGAAUUCUCUGCACCAACUGGAGUAGUAAAUAACCGAUCACAUGUCUUUGUUUCCUCCAAUAUUUUGGAAAGAAAAAGAAAUUGCUAAUUAUUGAUUUCCCCCCUGAAAUUUCACUGAUCAAUAGAAACUUGAGUGAUAGCCAGAGUUCACUCUUUAACUGUGGCCAGUCUCAACAAGCAUCAUUCAUUAAGAUGACUGCCACAGUCAUGCUUCAAACCAGGAAAAAAUAACCUCAAAUGAGAAAUUACUGAAGGUCACAAUGAGGUUACAGACACAUAAGAAAUGGAGACGUAAUCGUGAUUGCAAAAGGACCUAGGACUGUGGACAAUUCUGGGUAUUGCAAAGCUCAGGUUGCCUGAUGAUUUGGGGGGAAAAACAACAAUAUGGGAAGAAACUUAAUCUCCACAGUGUCCUGAUGUUCCAGAAGCGAACUUGCCGAAGUCAAGCAAAUAUAACCAGACAAUGUUACUGAUAAAAAGAUAUUAUCGGCCGGGCGCGGUGGCUCACGCCUGUAAUCCCAGCACUUUGGGAGGCCGAGGCGGGUGGAUCACGAGGUCAGGAGAUCGAGACCAUCCUGGCUAACACGGUGAAAACCCGUCUCUACUAAAAAUACAAAAAAUUAGCCGGCCGUGGUGGCGGGCGCCUGUAGUCCCAGCUACUCGGGAGGCUGAGGUGGGAGAAUGGCGUGAACCCGGGAGGCGGAGCCUGCAGUGAGCCGAGAUUGUGCCACUGCACUCCAGCCUGGGCGACAGCGAGACUCCAUCUCAAAAAAAAAAAAAAAAAAGAUAUUAUCAAAUUAGGAAAGAUUUUUUAGAUACGUAAGCCCUCAAAGGUAUGUAAUCAUACCACAUAAUGGAAGGUAGACAUAUUUAAAGAAAGAAAUAUGUAUCUGUCAAUUAUGCUUUAAUAAAGCCAGGAAAAACAAAUGGAAAGAAAGAAAGGAAGAGAAAAAAUUUCAUUGAACAUCUAUGGUACAGCAGCCUGAAAUCUUUCACAUUUUGAGAUUUUAUGUGUGAGUUGAAAGCACCGUUACUUGACUUUUAAAUAUAGAUGACUAUGUUGGUUACGAUUAUUAUAGUUCCAUUCAGGAAAACAAUCAACACAAACACAUUCUCUUUUCUGUUUCUUUUCUAUGUAAAAUGCUCCAAAAUCAAUAAUAUUAUUCUUGAGUGUUGCAUUUAUUUGUCUGUUUAUUAUCAUGCAACAUUUUUUCUAUUACCCGUCCACACUCAAUUCCCUUUUGGGGAAUUAUUCAUCCCACAUUUUGUGCAGUUAUGGAGGGGAUGGUAAGUACGGGUGCCUUUCUCCUACUGUUGAAACUAAAGGAGCCGGCUCCUUUUUCUCCCACCAAGUACAGCUAUAGAGGUGCAAGUGACUGAUGCUUGGCCAAUGAAACCAUCUGCCAGAACUUUGACUCCGGAAAGAAUGGCUCAGAGGUGCAAGAAGCCACUGCAAUGGACUCUUCCCAGCCUGGGUAUCCUGCUAGGUCUGUUUUUGCAGAAAAGCAGUUGUGACUGUAGCAUCUCACCUCCCUUAGUAGGCUGACCGUUUCUUUAGCCUCUCAUAGAUUUUAUAGACCCUCAACAUGAUUAUAAUAAACGC
rnacentral:lncRNA from 1 species